GACGAACCGUCCAAACGUUGUUCGGAAUCACUGGGCUUAAAGGGCGCGUAGGCGGGUCAUCAAGUCGGGGGUGAAAUCUUUCAGCUCAACUGGAAAAGAGCUUCCGAUACUGGUGGUCUCGAGGGAGGUAGGGGUCGAUGGAACUUCCGGUGGAGCGGUGAAAUGCGUAGAUAUCGGAAGGAACGCCGGUGGCGAAAGCGAUCGACUGGACCUUUUCUGACGCUGAGGCGCGAAAGCCAGAGGAGCAAACGGG
rnacentral:rRNA from 1 species